CACAGUAUAUGCUGCACAUUUGUCAGCAGCGCCCCUAGUGGACACGAGUGAGAACCACAGCGGCUCGGCCAUGCUGAUGCUGCUGUCGGUUGUGGUUCUGGGUUUGGCGAUAUUUGUCAUCUACAAAUUCAAAAGAUCCCAGGCCUCAACGUCUAUGCACAGAUGCAGAACGAAAAAGAACAAGAAAUGAUACCAAGUCCAGUAAGUCUGACGGAAAGCACCCUGGUGUCCCC